GCUGGGCACACUCCCACACACACACACUGACCUCUUCCCUCACGUCAGUGAACUCCCUUCCUGCUCCAAGAGACUGGAGGUGGGCAACGAUCCCAGGCUCCCUCAGCAUAGCCUGAGAGCUGAGACUGCUCCCUGUUUAGAAUGUUCAGAUAGCCUCCACCUCACCCCGUUAGUGAGGACAGACUCCCCGGCACUAACUAGUACAAGUGAGCCAAACACACAGCAACUGCCAUCAGUCACAUCUCCUAAAAGCUCUGGGGAACAGAGUGAGCCGGCAACCCCGGGACCAUAGGCUGGCUGGGCAGCAGCAAGAAGGCGAGUCUCACUGGCUCCCACAGGAGGCUGUGAUUGGCUGUUCUGAAUGAUUCCACAGACAAGUAGUUCCAGGACCAUCUGCCUCAGGACCCAGGGCCAACUGAGCUCGGACAGACACCACCUAGCUGGAAACAAAGUCACACCCGUGGGUAAAGGCUCUGGAGGAGGACCCCAGCAACACCCUUUGGGGUAGCAGAUGACCAAAAGACAUUCCCAGGAGGGGGAGCCCUGUUCAACACACAGCCACCCACCUGUGCCUCACCAGGAACAGAGCCAUUCUCCCCCGGGACAGACAGGCUGGCAGGAGUACCACACACAUGGGAACAGACGCUGAGGAGCACGUGGGGCCGGGCUCUGAGAAGAGAUACCCCUGCCGCGCCCUGAGCCGUCUUUACAAAGACCCUCAGCCAGCCCAGCCUGCAGCGGAGGGGGAGCAGAGGACAUAAGCAAGGUGGAGAUGCAAAUGAAAAGCUGUUGGAGAACUCGACUGUUUUACAUAAGGAGGAGGAAGCCAUGUGGCCACGGAACCUGUUGCUUUAGAGGCCUUUGGGAGAGGGAUGGACGGGAAGGAGGCUGUGACCACCUGUGCUGCAUUCUCCGCCAGACAGAAAGCCUGGCUCAGCAUCAGCGUGGAUCAGAGCUCUCUCUGAAGGAGAUCAAGCCCAGUCUAAGUGAACAUGGAGACCCUUUCUAAAAACCCAAAACAAACAAAAACUUGG